rnacentral:rRNA from 1 species
AGAGUUUGAUCCUGGCUCAGAAUCAACGCUGGCGGCGUGCCUAACACAUGCAAGUCGAACGCGAAAGGGGAGCAAUCCCUGAGUAGAGUGGCAAACGGGUGAGUAACACGUGGGUGACCUGCCUUCGAGUGGGGGAUAACGUCCCGAAAGGGACGCUAAUACCGCAUGACAUCCUGCUCUUGGACGAGCGGAGAUCAAAGCUGGGGAUCGCAAGACCUGGCGCUUGAAGAGGGGCCCGCGCCUGAUUAGCUAGUUGGUGAGGUAACGGCUCACCAAGGCAACGAUCAGUAUCCGGCCUGAGAGGGCGGACGGACACACUGGGACUGAGACACGGCCCAGACUCCUACGGGAGGCAGCAGUGGGGAAUUGUUCGCAAUGGGCGCAAGCCUGACGACGCAACGCCGCGUGGAGGAUGAAGAUCUUCGGGUCGUAAACUCCUGUCGAAUGGGAAGAACGUUUCGCGGAUGAAUAAGCCGCGGAAGUGACGUACCGUAAAGG